GAAUACCCCAGGAAACGAUUCCAACAUUCACCCAUCUGCCAUUCCCGAGUUGAUGAACCAAAGGACCACCAGAGUCUCCCUGGCAAAAAAAAAAGAAAAAAAAAAAUAAAGAAGACAAAAAAAAAAUAAACAAGAAAUUUCACCAGAAUCACGACUUACUUCUGAACGCAAUGGGCAGCUGUUAAUACGUGUCUAUCGGUGAUGAGAACACCUCCGCAAUACUGAAUCGCGUCUUUUCUAAGUAACGCUGCCAUCCAAGGCCAUUCCCGAGGAUCAGCCGGUCGUCCACCUACGAUUCUCGUACCACUCUUUGUGUUCGUUCCACAUCCUCUGUGUCCUCUGGCUUUUCUAUCGUCUAUAUCUUCAAAUAAAAUAAAUUUCGACGGCGACUAUAUUUCUAGUUUGUUAAAUGGAACAUUGCGUGCUGUUAGAAAAAUUCUCGGAGCACUCGCAUAGAUUUGAGAUAAUCGUAGUUUUUAACAUAACGUAAAGAUAACAUUUAUGAAUUUUAAUAUAUUAUUAUAUUAUAUUACCAUAAUAUUAUCAUUUAUUUAACAUCAAAUUCUUUUCAAACUAUAAGGGAGUGAAAUGAAAAUUAUUUAUUUAACAUCAAAUCCUUUUCAAACUAUAAGGAUGUAAAAUGAAAAAAAGAAAAAAUAAAGAGAAAAAAAUUGUUGAAGACUAGACAGUUCAAAACUAUUUCACAUCUUGCAUUUCUCUCUCUCUCUCUCUCUCUCUCUCUCUCUCUCUCUCUCUCUCUUUCUACCUGGAUUAUUCUCCUUUUCGCUGUAAAAACUUGCUAUAGAAGGUAAUGGUCCAGCCAGACUUUCCACGAGCGACAAACUCGAUGUACUUAGUGACUUGUUCGGACAACAAAUUCCUAUUUGCCUAAGAAAUAUGUUUAUCA